ACACAUUGUAGCACAUCAUUGUACACUGCAACCACAGUUGUGCUGUUUUCAGCCUUCGGGUUUUGUAAUUUAGUGACCCCUAUUGGUGACCUGCGUAUAUUUAAGCAGAGCACAUGUUGUUCAGCCAUUUUGUUGGUAGCUGUUUGAGAGUGCACACCUAUGACACAAAUCUCCAUUCACACUUCAUUUAUCCUUGUAAAAAGCAUUGUCUUUUUACACCGCUUCCAUUAAAUUGUACUUGGAAUAGUUCUGUCUUCAAGUCCAUUUUGGAGGAGUGUUAAGCUUGCUGCAUAGCUAUGUCUGUCUACACAUAGUGAGGGCAGUACAACAGUCUCAUUCCAAGCCGGACCAGACAUUUGAAAAGGACAGAAUGCUGACUUUAAAUGAAAACUGACUGCGCUUAAAACCAUCAAGCUUCCUGACUUCAGGAAAAACCCAACAACUGUAAGAGAAGACACCGCAAAAGACGUCGUUAUGGCAACAGUUUAUACCACUUGUGACGGUGUUUGUACCGCAGCGAUCCGCUGUGUAUCUGCGGUCUGCCACGUGCUCAGUCAGGUCUUUACUGAUCUAGAUAUAAUGACUAACAGCAUAGACGCUAUAUUCACUAGCACAUUAGACACUGUCGCCCCAGUUAGAUUACAGAAGGUUAGAGAUAAAACACUUGCACCGUGGUAUAAUAGUUAUACUCUUACCCUCAAG